rnacentral:rRNA from 1 species
CCUACGGGAGGCAGCAGUGGGGAAUAUUGCGCAAUGGGCGAAAGCCUGACGCAGCGACGCCGCGUGAGGGAUGAAGGUCUUCGGAUCGUAAACCUCUGUCAGCAGGGAAGAACGGUCACUGUGCUAAUCAGCAGUGAAUUGACGGUACCUGCAAAGGAAGCACCGGCUAACUCCGUGCCAGCAGCCGCGGUAAUACGGAGGGUGCGAGCGUUAAUCGGAAUUACUGGGCGUAAAGCGCUCGUAGGCGGUAUGUCAAGUCAAGGGUGAAAUCCCCGCGCUCAACGUGGGAACUGCCUUUGAAACUGGCAAACUGGAGUGUGUGAGAGGAUAGUGGAAUUCCAGGUGUAGGAGUGAAAGCCGUAGAUAUCUGGAGGAACAUCAGUGGCGAAGGCGACUAUCUGGCACAUAACUGACGCUGAGGAGUGAAAGCGUGGGUAGCAAACAGGAUUAGAUACCCCGGUAGUC